rnacentral:lncRNA from 1 species
UCAAUUAAUGCAAACAUAAAUAUUUAACUAAUUGACUUUUCAACUUUAUUACACCAUUUUGUUGUUAUUAUUUUUUAGAAAGAAAAAGAGAAAAUAAAAAAUAGAAAGAAAUAAUAGUGAACUUUAUCUCAUGUUACCAUCACAAAACAACUUCGCCCUCAUGAAAAAGAAAAUUACUCAGACCCUUAAAUCCACCAUAUUAUCUCCCUAUUCAAAGCUAGUCAACAAAGAUCCACUUAAAAUAAAAUAUCCUUCAUAUUUAAUGAGAAGAUCACAACUCAAAACAAUCAAAAUUUUCAUAAUCAUG